AAUCGUUUUCGCCGUUAUAAUAAAAUGAACAAAUAAAAAAAAAAGUGUAUUCCAAAAUGAACCCUCAACUUUAUUGAGGCCCAAGCAAAGAAUUUCGUAUUCACUUUGCACCUUUUUGACACAUCACAUCGAAACAGAAGACGAAGGAGAUCUUAAACUUGAAAUUAUAGGCAAAGUAACAUCUAAGUAUUGAAAGAACUGCGCGAGAUGAAUAUCAAAAAUAUUUAAUACGUAUGCCGAUGUUGGCGAAAUCUGCUGCUGGUGCUAUAAGCAAACAGAAAGCAACGCUCUGCGUAAAAUAAAACGUAAAAUAAACGUUGAUUGGAUGUCAACUAUAUAGAAAAGAUAAACUAAGUCAACUAAUAUCGACUAAUAAGUUGAUCAAGUUUCACAGCUAUACAAAGUGAAUGCGAGAAGUUUAAUCAGCCGGCGAUACUUGUGAACAAUAAAAAUAAGAUAAUUAGAUCUACAACUCUAAUUGUUCUGCUACUACAUAGCUGCUGCUCUUAUGUCGUUCUGCAUGCAGAAAUGCGAAAAUUUGGUAUUGCAGGAUAAAACCGAGAAUACAGCUCUCCAAUAUCAAAAUCACAAACUUCAGGGUAAAAAGAAGAAAAUAUACAAAGCAAUCUUAUGCUCCAAUCUGCUGGACUUCAUCAACGAAUAAUAAAUUAAUGAAAAAAUACGAUUUUUUUGCACACCCAGU